AUUCUGAGAACUACAAUCAACAAGACAGAAGAAGACUAGAUGAUGUUUCCUUUCCUGCCCAAUUUAUCUGGUUAAAACGUCUGAUACACUGUUGAAUAGAAGAGGCAAGGGCACAUGUUCAUGUCUUGUUCCUGAUAUUGGGAGAAAGCAUCCCGUUUUUCACCACUCUGGCCAGGACAGCCUAUCUGUGCAGGAGGCAUUGCUGGCACCCCGUGGGGACUGAGGACCAAGGAGGAGCUGCUCCCCCACACACGGUUCGUACUUCUGCUCUGUGAAGAGAGACAACUGUGCCCUGUCACCUUCACUGAACUAUGAGGAUAUUUUUAUAAGACAUCUAUUUCCCAGAUGAGAUAUUCCCUGACAAGUUUUAGGAUAUCAUUAUGUUGUCUGCUGGCUCAUCAACUGAGAAAUCAGCUGCCAGUCUUAUUGUUGUCUCUGUAAAGGAAUGUGUUUUUCACAUCUGGCUACGGCACUUACCCAAGCAGAAACGGGGUUUCACCAUGUUAGCCAAGAUGGUCUCGAUCUCCUGACCUCGCGAUCCGCCCGCCUUGGCCUCCCAAAGUGCUGGGAUUAUGCAUUCUCUCUUUACAUCACAAUGACCAUGACCUUGGAUAUGGAGUCCACUCAAAAGUAAUCUGAACUAAUAAACAAAUUCUGCAAGGUUGAAGAAUACAAGGUCAAUAAAAAUAAUUAAUUAUAUUUCUAUGUGAUACAAUAAACAAUCUUAAAAUUAAGAAAAA
ensembl:lncRNA novel transcript